GAUGAACGCUGGCGGCGUGCCUAAUACAUGCAAGUCGAGCGAACGGACGAGAAGCUUGCUUCUCUGAUGUUAGCGGCGGACGGGUGAGUAACACGUGGAUAACCUACCUAUAAGACUGGGAUAACUUCGGGAAACCGGAGCUAAUACCGGAUAAUAUUUUGAACCGCAUGGUUCAAAAGUGAAAGACGGUCUUGCUGUCACUUAUAGAUGGAUCCGCGCUGCAUUAGCUAGUUGGUAAGGUAACGGCUUACCAAGGCAACGAUGCAUAGCCGACCUGAGAGGGUGAUCGGCCACACUGGAACUGAGACACGGUCCAGACUCCUACGGGAGGCAGCAGUAGGGAAUCUUCCGCAAUGGGCGAAAGCCUGACGGAGCAACGCCGCGUGAGUGAUGAANGUCUUCGGAUCGUNAAACUCUGUUAUUAGGGAAGAACAUAUGUGUAAGUAACUGUGCACAUCUUGACGGUACCUAAUCAGAAAGCCACGGCUAACUACGUGCCAGCAGCCGCGGGUAUACGUAGGUGGGCAGCGUUAUCCGGAAUUUAUGGGCGUAAAGCCGCGCGUAGGCGGUUUUUUAAGUCUGAUGUGAAAGCCCACGGCUCAACCGUGGAGGGUCAUUGGAAACUGGAAAACUUGAGUGCAGAAGAGGAAAGUGGAAUUCCAUGUGUAGCGGUGAAAUGCGCAGAGAUAUGGAGGAACACCAGUGGCGAAGGCGACUUUCUGGUCUGUAACUGACGCUGAUGUGCGAAAGCGUGGGGAUCAAACAGGAUUAGAUACCCUGGUAGUCCACGCCGUAAACGAUGAGUGCUAAGUGUUAGGGGGUUUCCGCCCCUUAGUGCUGCAGCUAACGCAUUAAGCACUCCGCCUGGGGAGUACGACCGCAAGGUUGAAACUCAAAGGAAUUGACGGGGACCCGCACAAGCGGUGGAGCAUGUGGUUUAAUUCGAAGCAACGCGAAGAACCUUACCAAAUCUUGACAUCCUUUGACAACUCUAGAGAUAGAGCUUUCCCCUUCGGGGGACAAAGUGACAGGUGGUGCAUGGUUGUCGUCAGCUCGUGUCGUGAGAUGUUGGGUUAAGUCCCGCAACGAGCGCAACCCUUAAGCUUAGUUGCCAUCAUUAAGUUGGGCACUCUAAGUUGACUGCCGGUGACAAACCGGAGGAAGGUGGGGAUGACGUCAAAUCAUCAUGCCCCUUAUGAUUUGGGCUACACACGUGCUACAAUGGACAAUACAAAGGGCAGCGAAACCGCGAGGUCAAGCAAAUCCCAUAAAGUUGUUCUCAGUUCGGAUUGUAGUCUGCAACUCGACUACAUGAAGCUGGAAUCGCUAGUAAUCGUAGAUCAGCAUGCUACGGUGAAUACGUUCCCGGGUCU
rnacentral:rRNA from 1 species